UCUCGCAGCAGAACGCCUGGAUGAGGGUGAAAUGGAUCUGCAGAGCCACGUCCCUGUCGUCGUCCUCGUCCGCAGCCAGCAGGCACAGCACCACGUUGUCGGGGUCACUGCGGACAGCACGGGCAGCGGUAUAUUGAUCCGCAAUGGAUUGGGAUGAAGCAACAGCUGCCUUGCCACGGACAGUUUGAGAAGCAAUGAACUGGCCAGCCACCGUAGACCUGGGCAUCACUGGGCAGAGGUGAACUCCACACCUGCUCCUUGCUGUCCUCGGUCACACCACACUUAUUCCCACCACCCAGCUUUAGUUCUGAUAAUCUGUCUUCCUCAGUACCCAUGAGGCUUGCAUUUUACCAUCCCUUCUCAGCCUCAGUUGCUGGCUAGCCGCUGACUCUUCAUUCGCCAUCCUGUGCUGCCCAACACAAGUAGCCACCAGCCACUUGUGCCUACCGUACACUUGACAUACAGCAAGCCUAAUGAGGAGGCAAGGCAAGUGUCAAUUCAAUGGGCUUCAAGGACUUAAUCAGAAGAUGAUUUAAAGGAGCUCCUUGAUAAUUUAAUGGUUAUUCUGUGCUGAAAUGAUGCCCUGGGUAUACUGUAUUCGUUUAAAUAAGAUAGAUCUAUAAAAUUAAGUAUAACUGAUUCUCUGUACUCUUUUAAGUGGGACCGACAGGAAGUUAUGUAUGGAGUCUUCAUUCCAUGUAUUUUGAUUUGAGGGGAGCUGGCGGCAGGAAGAGUUUCAGAUAUGAUUUCACUAUGUAGCACAGACUGGUUCCAAACCUGCAAUUCUCCUGCCUUAGCUUCCUGAGUGCUUUGAUUACAGGUGUGAACCGCUAUGCUAGGCUCAUUAUCUGCUAGUUGUUGAUAGAGCUUGAUUUUUUUUUUUUAAAUUUAUUUAUUUAUUAUGUAUACAGUGUUCUGCCUGCAUGUGUCCCUGCAGGCCAGAAGAGGGCGCCAGAUCUCAUUACAGAUGGUUGUGAGCCACCAUGUGAUUGCUGGGAAUUGAACUCAGGACCUCUGGAAGAGCAGCCACUGCUCUUAGCCUCUGAGCCAUCUCUCCAGCCCGAUAGAGCUUGAUUUUUUCCCAUAGUUAUUCCCACCACCAGACAUUAGGUGAUCUGUUUAUGGUGAGUUUAUCACCAGCUUUGCCCGCUGAGUGUGUGUCCCAGGAUGUCAGGGACUGCAUUUCUAGAACAGUGCAGCCAUAAUGUACACAGAUAUCUUCCAGAAACAUUGUGUGGGAGGAGGUUGCCAUUCCUGGACAGAAUCUGCAGGGUUAGGGACUCUUUCUUCCCCUUUCGUCUUUGUAUUUAUACAGUUCUGCACGGGUGACAUCUGUUUUAAAAUGGUCUGUGCAUAAAGUACAAUGCCUGGGGCUGAUGAGAUGGCUCAGCAGGUAACCGCACUUGCUGCCAAGCCUGACAAUCCAAGUUCGAGCCCUGGGACCCACAGUGAAUGGAGAGAACUGACCGCUGUCCUCUGACCUCCAUAUAUGUUCUCCCUCAACAAAAAAGUUAAACAAGCAUAAUAAAAAAGUGUAUGUGUGUGUGUAUGUGCAUGUGUAUGUAUGUAUGUAUGUGUGUGUGUAUGUAUGUGUAUGUAUGUGUAUAUGUGUGUAUGCAUGUAUGUGUAUGUGUGUAUGUAUGUGUGUGUAUGUGUAUGUGUGUGUGUGUGUGUGUGUGUGUGUGUAUGUGUGUGUAAGCUUGAUGCCUGUUUGUUUGUAUAUUCACUUUAAUCUCCCCCCUCAAGGCAUUUAGGCAUGAAUCAAAAUGCCCUACUCACAAAUCCACACUCUGGAGGAGGUUGCUUGUGCUUUUAAAAUACAUAAAUCUAUACCAGGUGUUUGCUAAUUGACACCAAGAGACUGGAAAGUCAUUAGCUAUGUUGAGCAAAAAGCCAGAGUGCAAGGUAGCUUGGCCAGAAAGAUUACAUGGCUCAGCUCCUGCACCAGGUCAGAGGCUCCGAAAAUCAGGUUGCAUAGUGCCUUGGUGCAUCCUGGAGGCUCAAGCCCCAACCUCCAGGAGCCUCUGUCUUCAUGCAGGAAUCUGAAAACACGAAGCUUUACCUUGCUGGACUCCCCUGCAAGGGUUUUUUUUGGGGGAGCAAUGUUCACAGGAUUUCUUCUUUGUAUCCCCACACUCAAAAUACUAACAGAGGGUUUAUGCCUUGCUGAAGAAAUGCCAGUCAGGCAGACUUUAUACAUGACCUACUUUUCUAACAGGAUGCCACCAGGUGAGGAGUUGUGUAUGCUGUGGAAGGAAUAAAACUCAUUUGGUUUUGUGCCUAAA